rnacentral:rRNA from 1 species
UACGGAGGGGGCUAGCGUUGUUCGGAAUUACUGGGCGUAAAGCGCACGUAGGCGGCUUUGCAAGUUAGAGGUGAAAGCCCGGGGCUCAACUCCCGGAAUUGCCUUUAAAACUGCAUCGCUAGAAUUGUGGAGAGGUAAGUGGAAGUUCCGAGUGUAGAGGUGAAAUUCGUAGAUAGUUCGGAAGAACACCAGUGGCGAAGGCGACUUACUGGACACAUAUUGACGCUGAGGUGCGAAAGCGUGGGGAG